AAUGAACGCUGGCGGCGUGCUUUACACAUGCAAGUCGAGCGAGGCACCCCGCAAGGGGUAGUCGAGCGGCGAACGGGUGAGUAACGCGUGGAUAACCUGCCCUUGAAUGGGGAAUAACCCGGGGAAACUCGGGCUAAUACCGCAUACGACCGAGAGGUGAAAGGGGGCUCGCAAGGGCUCUCGUUCGAGGAGGGGUCCGCGUUCGAUUAGCUAGUUGGUAGGGUAAUGG
rnacentral:rRNA from 1 species